GUGUAGCUCAGUGGUAGAGCUCUUGUUUAGCAAGCACAAGGCCUGGGUUCAAUCCCCAGCAC
rnacentral:tRNA from 1 species